GGACUUAGAUGUUGGUACUAUUUUUUAGCCAAACCUGUGAGCAUGAUCGAAAACACUCGAUAUAGCAUGAAAUCAUUGAUGCCUUAAAGAUGCAUCGUUGUUCUAAGAUUGCCAGGUGACUUCUAGGGUCUGCUGUUCCGUCAUAUUUAUUCGAACUUGGCAGCUUGAAUUUUAUAGGGAGGGUUUCUGCAAUGAUCCUUUGACAAGGGUGGGGCAUCGUCCAGGC
rnacentral:lncRNA from 1 species